UUUGUAUCAUGCAACUUUAAUGAAUUCAUUUAUGAGUUUUAACAGUUAUUCCACACAGUAGGUCUUGGUAUGCCUUUGUUUUUUAUCAGCUGUUAGAGAUGGUAAUGUAUAAACAAAGACAAUUUUCUUUCAUAUUGUUGAAUACAUAGAUAAUUCUUAAUAUUAACAACUAAACUUGUCAUUUCUAUUUUUUGAAGGAGAAAAACUUAAUGCGAAAAAUCUGAGAAAUAUUCUUGAAGGCCUUGGAAUAGAAUUCACACCUAAAGAAUACUUGGAACUGGUACAAAAUCUGCAAAUUGAUGAUGAUGGAACUAUAUCUGAAAAUAGAUUGCUAGAUGGUGUGAAAUCAUUCAAAGGUGGAAAGGUUGAUGUUAGUAACCUGGAAAACAUUUUGGAAAACAUGAAAAUCAUGGUUCCAGAUAAGGAACUUAAAGAUUUGUCACAAAACCUACCAGUUGAUGCUUCCGGGAUGACUGAUCUGCAUAAACUACUAAAAGAAGUAAAUAAAUUCACAGGAGGAAAAAUUCAAGCCAAGGACAUAAAAAAAGUACUGGGAGACAUGGGGAUAGAGCUCACAAAUAGGGAGCUCUGGAACCUGAUGAAAAUCUUGCCAAUUACUGGUAGGUAUUUUAUGCACUACUAUGAUAUUUAUCUUUGUGCUAUUGGGGACUUCAAUGUGAGAAUAUCAUAAAAAUAGGCCCCUCUGAUUUCCUAUAAAAAGACAAAAAGAGGCUGGGCAUGGUGGUUCACACCUGUAAUCCCAGCACUUUG